AUCCUUUUGUAGUUCAUAAGCAUGAUGAUUGAGUGUUCAUACACAUGUGUGAGGUAUGUCACCCCCCAAACCUUUUAUGACAUUGGCACAUUACCUGUCUGACA